AUUGAACGCUGGCGGCAUGCUUUACACAUGCAAGUCGAACGGUAACAGGCCGCAAGGUGCUGACGAGUGGCGAACGGGUGAGUAAUGCAUCGGAACGUGCCCAGUCGUGGGGGAUAACGCAGCGAAAGCUGCGCUAAUACCGCAUACGAUCUAUGGAUGAAAGCGGGGGACCGUAAGGCCUCGCGCGAUUGGAGCGGCCGAUGUCAGAUUAGGUAGUUGGUGGGGGAAAGGCUCACCAAGCCAACGAUCUGUAGCUGGUCUGAGAGGACGACCAGCCACACUGGGACUGAGACACGGCCCAGACUCCUACGGGAGGCAGCAGUGGGGAAUUUUGGACAAUGGGCGCAAGCCUGAUCCAGCAAUGCCGCGUGCAGGAAGAAGGCCUUCGGGUUGUAAACUGCUUUUGUACGGAACGAAAAGACUCUUUCUAAUAAAGAGAGUCCAUGACGGUACCGUAAGAAUAAGCACCGGCUAACUACGUGCCAGCCGCCGCGGUAAAAC
rnacentral:rRNA from 1 species